CAGUCGCCACGGGAACACGUAGGGUGCGAGCGUUAAUCGGAAUUACUGGGCGUAAAGCGUGCGCAGGCGGUUGUGUAAGACAGGUGUGAAAUCCCCGGGCUUAACCUGGGAACUGCGCUUGUGACUGCACAGCUAGAGUAUGGCAGAGGGGGGUGGAAUUCCACGUGUAGCAGUGAAAUGCGUAGAGAUGUGGAGGAACACCGAUGGCGAAGGCAGCCCCCUGGGCCAAUACUGACGCUCAUGCACGAAAGCGUGGGGAGCAAACAGGAUUAGAGACCCCUGUAGUCCCUGUCUCUUAUAC
rnacentral:rRNA from 1 species